rnacentral:rRNA from 1 species
UACGGGGGGGGCAAGCGUUGUUCGGAAUUACUGGGCGUAAAGGGCUCGUAGGUGGCCAACUAAGUCGGACGUGAAAUCCCUCGGCUUAACCGGGGAACUGCGUCUGAUACUGGAUGGCUUGAGUUCGGGAGAGGGAUGCGGAAUUCCUGGUGUAGCGGUGAAAUGCGCAGAUAUCAGGAGGAACACCAAUGGCGAAGGCAGCUCGCUGGGACGUGACUGACGCUGAGACGCGAAAGCGUGGGGAGCAAACAGG